UUAAACAGAUAUGUUCACUUUCAAGGAGUGUGAAAAUAAAAAUAAAUAAAUUAAUUAAUUAAUAAUAAAAAAUACAGGAAAUGAACUUUUAGCAGAAAAUCAAAGACAAUACUUUAUGCUGCAGUUUUAACAUGGUGAUAUCAGCCUUAAAAUCGUGUUGAAUUUUGUCAUAUCAAGCUGGGAGAAAUCACGUGAGAUCUUUGCUUGUGGCCUCAAAAAGUUUCCUCUUUCAACACACCCAACAUUCCUUCCCCAAAUACUCAAACCAGAACAGCUUCUGCCAGUGUGAUUGCCUUUCCAUAGGGUGAAAAUAGCAUGGGAUCUGUGCAGGCCACAGCUUGCAGCUGGGAAGGCAGCAACUGUCCCUGCAUUUCAAGGCAGGCUGCCAUUUAGGAAGCGGAGCAUCCGCCUGGCUCCAGCUCUGUGGAUCUGGGUGGCCCACGGUAGAAGGAGCAGAAAGCUGAAGGGAAAGCGUGGCUUGGGAGAGGAAGACUGGGGAGGGUGCAGAAGAAAGCAUCAGUGGGGUAGAAGAGGUAGGUGUCACAAGACUGUAAAGUGCUGGAAAGUGAGAUGGAAAAGGAGAAACAAAAAGCGCCAGCUACUCCUCAGUAUGAUCUGCGAGUCCUGUAUUCCUGAGCUUGCCGGCAGACCUGCCCUCAGUGCUGGACAUCUACCUGAGGGCAGCCUGGGAUGCUGCUGGGCUCCUGCUGCUCCUUGGGUGGUGGUUCUGGGGAUUUUGAUCCUGUCAAGGUUCAGAAAUGCUUCUCUAGCUUGGCUUUCCUUUAUCUGUGGCUAUUCAUUUUGUAUCAAGCAAUACAAGGAGGAGGUGAUGUACAGAGUGUGGUGGGUUUUUUUCUUCUUCUUUUUUUUUUUUUUUUUUUUUUUAUUUGUUGAGACUUCCAUAUAGAAGAUGCACAGCACAAUCUAUCAUCAACAAAGCCGUGUGUGUGAUAUGUGCUUUGGCAGAACUGCAUCCUUUCUGAGCUGUCUGGAAAGCAUAUUUUAAAGAAUAUAUUUGAAACAUGCUUAAUUCUGUAUGUCCUGUAUUAUUUUGCAUGUACAUUUUGAUUCUGAUAUGUUGAAAGGGUGAGAUGCUAAGAUGCUUAGAGGAGCAGGCAGUGCUGGAGUUAAUGUUUUUAUUUAUAAGGCUCAUUGGUCAGUGAUACUGAGCUCUCCUCCAGGAAAAAAAGAUCCUCAAUUCACUCUUGCAAAAUUCAAUGCCCUAUUGUUCUCACUUUUCUGAAGUCACUGUUUAUAACAUUGCUCUCUUUUCCCCUCUGAGGAAUAAUAUAAUUUAUUGGAGCAGUUCAUUCAUAGACUAUGUGAUAUCUGUCUUCUGGGACAGAGAUACCUUUUGCAUGAUGUACAUACUGUUAGCUUCAAACUCUUCCUGUUUGCUUUAUGUGAAAGGGUUUGUAAUCAGGAAUAUUUAUGCAUCCUGCUACUCAAUUGUGCUGUGCUUGCUGUUUUCUGCUCUUCAUAGAAAAUUAAUUUUUUUUUUUUUUUGGCUCACACCUACCUGAAAAGCAAAAGAUUUUAGAAUAUUACCCUAUGGAUUUAUGAUUACCAGGCAGAUAGCCAGUAAUAAGCGGUGAUAUCUGAUACUACAGCCCAGACAUACUCUGCUAUUUUCCACCUUUUUUCUAUUAUCUUUAAGUUUAAUAAACUAUAAAUGAAAGAAAUAAAUGGCA
rnacentral:lncRNA from 1 species